rnacentral:rRNA from 1 species
GUGGGGAAUAUUGCGCAAUGGGGGAAACCCUGAUCUAGCCAUGCCGCGUGAGCGAUGAAGGCCUUAGGGUUGUAAAGCUCUUUCAGCUGGGAAGAUAAUGACGGUACCAGCAGAAGAAGCCCCGGCUAACUCCGUGCCAGCAGCCGCGGUAAUACGGAGGGGGCUAGCGUUGUUCGGAAUUACUGGGCGUAAAGCGCGCGUAGGCGGACCAGAAAGUUGGAGGUGAAAUCCCAGGGCUCAACCUUGGAACUGCCUUCAAAACUCCUGGUCUGGAGUUCGAGAGAGGUGAGUGGAAUUCCGAGUGUAGAGGUGAAAUUCGUAGAUAUUCGGAGGAACACCAGUGGCGAAGGCGGCUCACUGGCUCGAUACUGACGCUGAGGUGCGAAAGCAUGGGGAGCAAACAGGAUUAGAAACCCCGGUAGUCC